GCUAUCCGCUAAACACUGGACAGAACUGGACAACCAGUACAUUCCGGUGGAGAGAUAGCCAGUCUUAGCCGAAAGGCUCCGUUAGGAAGGUCAUGAUACCAACAGGUGCUUUCCAGCCUGCUGCUCUAUCGCCAAGAAUUAAACAGAGUAUUUAGCUAGAUCCGUGUUCUUGGCGCAACAAGCCUUCCUAACAUUGACUAGGAAAACAUCAC
rfam:Scytonema millei VB511283 scaffold_17, whole genome shotgun sequence.